rnacentral:siRNA from 1 species
UUGAACUACUCAAGCCCAAAC